CUUUAAGGGUCCUGAAGGAACGUUGAAGACGACGACGUUGAUAGGUCGGGUGUGUAAGCGCAGCGAUGCGUUGAGCUAACCGGUACUAAUGAACCGUGAGGCUUAACCUU
rnacentral:rRNA from 1 species